rnacentral:rRNA from 1 species
CCUACGGGAGGCUGCAGUGGGGAAUAUUGCACAAUGGGGGAAACCCUGAUGCAGCGACGCCGCGUGAGUGAAGAAGUAUUUCGGUAUGUAAAGCUCUAUCAGCAGGGAAGAAAAUGACGGUACCUGAGUAAGAAGCCCCGGCUAACUACGUGCCAGCAGCCGCGGUAAUACGUAGGGGGCAAGCGUUAUCCGGAUUUACUGGGUGUAAAGGGAGCGUAGACGGCAGCACAAGUCUGGAGUGACAUGCCGGGGCUUAACCCCGGAACUGCUUUGGAAACUGUGCAGCUAGAGUGCAGGAGAGGUAAGUGGAAUUCCUAGUGUAGCGGUGAAAUGCGUAGAUAUUAGGAGGAACACCAGUGGCGAAGGCGGCUUACUGGACUGUAACUGACGUUGAGGCUCGAAAGCGUGGGGAGCAAACAGGAUUAGAUACCCGAGUAGUC